rnacentral:lncRNA from 1 species
AGAGUCGAUUGUGGGCUUGGAGAAGAACAUCAGGGCGGAAACACCGAGGAAGGGGUAGGCACGGGAACGUCCAGCUUUGCUCCAGGUGACUUCUCACGACGAUCUCUUAAAUAGCUCCCCAAGAGAAAGAAGUGAUCAGAUGACCUGCUGGCGACUUCCAAACGGUCUUAGUUCAUAGGACUUAAAAGCCACCUGUGGAACAGAAAAUGCCUCUGUGUUUUCUGCAAGUGCAAAUUAUUUUGACAGGAGCCUGAAUAGGAAAUGGGUAGCUUGAGAAAACAUUUACCAGCUUUUACAAAAGGGACCGUGUGUAUUUAAGUAGCACCACGUGGCUUUAAUACAUAUGUGCAUUGUGUGGCGUUGAAAUGGGUCAAGCAUUUGAAGUGUACGCUUUGCUCUUCAAGU